rnacentral:rRNA from 1 species
AGAGUUUGAUCCUGGCUCAGAGGACCGAACGCUGGCGGCGUGCUUAACACAUGCAAGUCGAGCGAUGAAGUUUCUUCGGAAAUGGAUUAGCGGCGAACGGGUGAGGAACACGUGAAGAAUCUGCCCUCCACUUUGGGAUAACACCGGGAAACCGGUGCUAAUACCGAAUAUUGAAACAUAAGUGGCAUCACUGAGUUUUGAAAGAAUUUCGGUGGAGGAUGACUUCGCGGCCUAUCAGCUAGUUGGUGAGGUAAUGGCUCACCAAGGCAACGACGGGUAGCCGGCCUGAGAGGGCGACCGGCCACACUGGGACUGAGACACGGCCCAGACUCCUACGGGAGGCAGCAGUGGGGAAUAUUGGGCAAUGGAGGAAACUCUGACCCAGCGACGCCGCGUGCGGGAUGAAGGCCUUCGGGUUGUAAACCGCUUUCAGUAGGGAAGAAGCGAAAGUGACGGUACCUACAAAAGAAGCACCGGCUAACUAUGUGCCAGCAGCCGCGGUAAUACAUAGGGUGCAAGCGUUGUCCGGAAUUAUUGGGCGUAAAGAGCUCGUAGGUCGUUUGUUACGUCGGAUGUGAAAACCUGAGGCUCAACCUCAGGCCUGCAUUCGAUACGGGCAAACUAGAGUUUGGUAGGGGAGACUGGAAUUCCUGGUGUAGCGGUGGAAUGCGCAGAUAUCAGGAGGAACACCAAUGGCGAAGGCAGGUCUCUGGGCCAAUACUGACACUGAGGAGCGAAAGUCUGGGGAGCGAACAGGAUUAGAUACCCUGGUAGUCCAGACCGUAAACGGUGGGCACUAGUUGUGGGAACCUUCCACGGUUUCUGCGACGCAGCUAACGCAUUAAGUGCCCCGCCUGGGGAGUACGAUCGCAAGAUUAAAACUCAAAGGAAUUGACGG